ACAAAGCUUUCCCUCCUCGUUGGCUGGCAUUUCCCAUCCCUUACCCAUCCCUUAGGGAGCAAGCUAACAAGCUCCUAAGAAACCCAUAUCUCCUUCCUGUCUGCCUUAAAAACCCGCCAUAAAUUUACUUAAAAACGACCAAUAGUACCACAACCCACACACACAAAAAAGAAAAGACUCUCUUUUGCUUUUUCCCUCUCUCUCUCCAUUCGGGUCCAUUUGGAUCGGGUCGGGUCCGUUCGGUAAACCCAGACCUGACCCAGAAAAUGAUUCGGAUCCAAUUUUAGGACCCAAACCAGACCUGAGGGUCCUAAAAUUCGAGUCAGGUCAGGUCUACGCGGAUCGGGUCCGGUUGGGUCACGGGUCGACCCGACCCAUUUGUAGCCUUACU
rnacentral:lncRNA from 1 species